AGGUUUGAGCCAACAAGAUAUAUCCAAGUUUUGACUGUUCUGGUCAUCAGCAACAUUCUCAGAAAUAUCUUCGCUUGGACUAACAGCAUCCUGUUUGAGUGGAGAAGCUAGCGAUGACGAUCGAGCUACAGACCUCUUUUUCCUCUUUCUUUAAGUGUCUUUGUGUAUGCCCAUGUGAGUGUGGGUAUAUUCACGAGGACACCCCCUUUUCCCUAUCCCACCUGCUGGUGGAUUCAUCUGCGGAUGGAGCACUUGUGGACGAUGAAUGCCUGGCUGUGGAUUUCCCAGGCUUAAAAGAUAUCAAAAGAACGGAAUAGAUUCCUCCCAUAUGUAUAUAACUGGCGACUUGGAGUUCAAUCGGACGUGAUGAAUGCUUAGUGGGCCGUGUCCUUUUCUCCUCAGCGUGUGAGAUUUUUCCCGGAGAAUUCUAAACGCACGCGGCUCUCUCGCGGGAGAUGUAACACUCGAAAAGUGAAAGAGACUCUCCUUUUCUAACCACCGAAAGACGAUCAAGUCUCAACAUUUUUCCUGGUUCGUCUUUUAUAUCAAUUAUUGAGGAGAGAAGUGCGACCAGCGCAAUGGAGAUGUCUGCGUCCAUCAUCAGAUCUUCUCAGCCUGGCGAUGAAGCCAAUCAAACGGCCAAAUAUUCGCCCGAUAUGUAUAUCCCACCAGUCAAUCGAUGUCAGCGAAAAUAAAACUGAUACCCUGGACGAUGAAAUUGAAUAAAAUCAACGUCGCAAUUUGAAUGAAAUUGCUUUUUCCGAAAUGUUUCCCCUCCGCAGAUAAAACACACGAGAGAGAAAGAAAUAAAGAGAGUUUUAGCUUUUAAACAAAACAAAAUAAAGAUGAAACGAAGAGAAGCAGAGAGACAAUUCAAUAACUGUCCUGGCCAGUUGUAUUUAUUACGAGUAUUGUCUUGUCGGACGUUGGGCAUUGGCCGGCUGUAUUACAGUUAAGGCUACCGU